rnacentral:sRNA from 1 species
CCGUCCUGCCAUGAUGGCCUUCUAGAUUAAUAGAAAUCAUCUGCGAAUAUAAUGAAAUAUAUUGAAUGUCACCACAAAUGUUGCAUUCCACUAUGCAAAAUAUAAAUCUGCCCUAAGCAAAACCUAUGGCAACAUUGCCGUGUGAAUGACAAUUUCCUUAAAAGCAUAAAAGAAAACACGGGCGCAAAAUAAUAAAUUAUAGCUUGCGUCCGUCACAAAGCCAGCUAUUUUUACGCAAUCCGUGCAGUAAAAAUAGUUGGGAAUUUUAUAUGUAUAUGUAUAUUAAAAAAGAUUAAAAUUAAUAGUUCAUGACAGUGUGUAUCGAAUAAAAUGUAUUGUUUUGUUUGUCUGCCACAAAACAAAGGGGUUUUGCGAAUAACACAAAAGUUGGUAUACACAAAAACGUCAUUAAAUUAUACGUGAGUCGACGCAGAAUAGUGGCACCAAAAAAACCAUGUCUGUUGUCAUUGUUGUCGCAGUAGUGUGUCGUGGUAUAAAAGGACAAAAUUGUCUACUGUCCUCAAAGGUCAUUACAAGUUUCUGUACUUUCCCAAUGGUACUACAGUCGAAUGAGGGUGAAAAAUGGUCAUAAAAGGCACGACAAGAAGACCGGAGAGCCAUGCAAAAGAAUUAAAGAUUCUGGUGAUAAUUGAUGCCUCUUUUCCCUUCAUGAAACAAAUCCGCCAUGGCGUGUGUAUGAGCCUGACGUCAAUAUCUAAUAAGCACACCAAUGAAUGUGGGUAAAUAAACCAAAUUUCAAAUUGGAAAAAUUAAGCACGUAACGGACCAACUGCAAGUAAAAUGUUUCCGACAGACUAUGCAGAUAAGUACUAAUUUUAGAUAAAUCAUAUUUGUGGCAUACUAAUUCCUUCUUUUCCUUAUGGCAGGUGCUAUGAUUUGACCAAUGUCUGUGACUGGAUAUAAUUUAACAACAACACAAAAAAAGGAAAUGGUGAACUAAAUGUAAGCUUAAGUAGUGUCUGAUAGCUCGGGAAAUCAGCAUCAUUGCUUUAGGUGUUGGGCUAACUUUCCGUUUAGGUUUUCAACCUCAUAUUGACAAUUGCCUACAGGUUUCCUAAUUCGGCACUUGAGCCAUUGUUUGGAAUCCCUUUCGAAAAGUAGCUCUGAAUGAAGUUGAGUCUAUAAACCUCCUGACCCGCUUUAAAUUGUACAAAUCGGCUUCGUCUGUUAUACGUUCAUACAUUUCGUUCAUAUGCCGUGAGCAGUUGGUCUCUUAUAUUAUCCGUGAUCAUUUGCAUCUGCGUCGUUUUGGGCAAUACAAGCGUCUCGCCAUCACAUAGGGCAUUCAUUUUCCUUAGAAUCUCAUAAGCUUCCGCAUGGAUGAUCAUUUGUUAGCCUGUCAACGCGAAAUAAGGGGUAACACCUGUUGAUGCAUGUGUCGCUGAACGCAAUGAACAUUCUAUCCUAGACAAAUUUUCGUUACAAAUUUCACAGUAGCCUUUGACAUAUGUAGCUCGCAAUAUGACAAUUUUCGUCUUAUGGUCAAGGACAAUAAAAAUGUACGUUUUACCUGAUCUCGUACGUGGAUAUGGGCCAAGAAAAUCGAUGUAUAUUUUCUGCAAUGGUCUAGUCGUGACAGUCUCUUUUCCAAUUUGAGUCUUAUUACCUGAUUUGGAUGUUGAAUCUCUUUACAUUUCUGACAUUGGGCUAUAAAAUUAUUGAUUUACUUUACCAUUGAACACCAAUAAAUGUACUGACGUUCAUUGUAUAAUGUCUUUGCUUCCCCUCCAUGUGAAGUGUUAUACUCAUGUGACUUACGUAUAACAUCUUCCGCCAACUUCUUAGGUAACCAAGUAUGCCAACAGUCUUCCCCAUACUCAAUUUCUUCGCGGUUGAACUUGACCCUCUUAUACACAAUUCCUUCCAUCACUUUCAAGUCAGGUAGUCUACUUCUAUUUUGCUCAAUCGUAGCAAUAAGGGACAAAUACUCCUCGCCUAGAAACUCAUCAGAAUUAAAAUCUUUUAUGCCUGUUUGUUGAUAUUCAAUUUCGUCCAUGUCGAGUCUCGAUAACAUAACAGAUACGAUAUUCUUUGCGCCUUUUCUGUGCUCGAUAGAAAAUUUAUAACCCUGCAGCUUGAAAAUCCAGCGUGGCAAGAGUUACUACACCGACUUGACUGUCUCCACCAAAACCACCAAGAACGCUGACCAGUUGAUAUAGUUACGACACCACCAAAACCACCAAGAAAGCUGACCAUUUGAUCUAGUUACGAUACCCAUCUUACUGUCUUCACCAAAACCACCAAGAACGCUGACCAGUUAAUAAUUGUAUAAUCGAAGUUGUCUCACUAACUUCCGCUGUAACCUAAAAGACAUAACAAUUCUAAAGAAUCUUUCCGCUAACACCCAUAUCACUGUUACCAUCGAAACCACAAAC